rnacentral:piRNA from 1 species
UAGAUAUGCUCACAUCCAGUCUCUAAAUAA